AGCGAACGCUGGCGGCAGGCUUAACACAUGCAAGUCGAGCGGGCGUAGCAAUACGUCAGCGGCAGACGGGUGAGUAACGCGUGGGAACGUACCUUUUGGUUCGGAACAACACAGGGAAACUUGUGCUAAUACCGGAUAAGCCCUUACGGGGAAAGAUUUAUCGCCGAAAGAUCGGCCCGCGUCUGAUUAGCUAGUUGGUGAGGUAACGGCUCACCAAGGCGACGAUCAGUAGCUGGUCUGAGAGGAUGAUCAGCCACAUUGGGACUGAGACACGGCCCAAACUCCUACGGGAGGCAGCAGUGGGGAAUAUUGGACAAUGGGGGCAACACUGAUCCAGCCAUGCCGCGUGAGUGAUGAAGGCCCUAGGGUUGUAAAGCUCUUUUGUGCGGGAAGAUAAUGACGGUACCGCAAGAAUAAGCCCCGGCUAACUUCGUG
rnacentral:rRNA from 1 species